CUUACUCUAUGUGUCACAUGGUGAAAUGGCAUACCCUUGACGGAUGUCAGUGUUGGGUCUUCUUAACUACUUAUCCUCUCUGAAUUGCAUGCAAACAAUGAGUUUCAGUCUAGCUGAUUGUUAUGCCUGAAUUGAGCAGAGAAAACUCCAGGCCCAUGUCAUAGCUAAACUAUGUAAAUAUGGUCUGAACUGAAGGGAUAUGCUCACAUCCGCCAUCUCUUGGCAAAAUGGAAUAUCUGAAUUUUGAGUAUACUGAAUUCAAUUCAGCAAAUGUAUCUCCCUGCUUUGCCAUGCAGCCUGCUGUCCUAGACACUUCAAGGGCUUAGAAAAUGAGCCACAUUCUCUGUCUGUAAACAGACGUUUGUGACAUCACACAUGUUACAUGCUCACAGCAGCUUGCCCGUUUUCUGGCUUGAACUUUUAUCACAUCAAAAAGACCAAUGCCUGGCCUUUUCUAGACAGAUAAACAACUCUGUACCUGGAACAAAAAGACAAACCUACCAGCUCCAUAGUUGCCUAACACUCCUCAGAGAGGAACCAAGUGGGCCCUGCCUGGAUGCUAAUGGCAAGUUUGGCUCUUGGGAGCUGAAACUAAAAGGGACAAUGUAUUGUGCUCACAGGUACUAUACACAGGAGGAGCCUGAAGCUGACUAUGAGCCAAGUCUGUAGAGAGCACCCAAAGUCAAGAUUCCUUUAAGUCUCUCAGUCUUCAAAACCAAAGGUGAAGCGUGGAACUGGAUCCGGAUGACAAAGCAGAAAGGCUAAAAGUGAAGCUGGCAGAAGCUUAUUGACUUGUCCAAGUCAUAAGCUACUGGUAUCCAUUGCUGAAGAAAAAUUAUUCUGACUCUUGUUUAAAAUGGCAAGGAAGAGUUUAUGCAGGACUCUUGCAAGAGGGAGAAAGAUUGAGCUCAACGCUGAAUACAGCAAAGACAGGAAUUUACAGCCAGAGUGAGAGGAUCAGUAGAUGGAAAAUUCCUAAGAGGAGGUAUCAAGGGUAGGGGAAUUCUUGCUAAACUGGCUUAGCAGGAAUUUUGCUAAAGAAAGGUCAAGGUGGAGGCCUACUCAAGAAGAAGUUCGGAAAAGCCUGACUAAAGUUUGGUCGAAGGAGUCUUCAUCAUUGAGGGCUCUGUUUUCUAUUUUGUUUUGCUUUUUUCUUCCAACCAGUAUCUUCUGCCCCUAAGAGUUUGUACUGGUUAAUUGACAAAACCAGUCUUUGGUAGGGAGAGAAAAAAUAGUAAGAUAUGGCAGAGUUUAAAAUAGUUUCAUGGACUUAAGAAGAUUUUCUAACAAUUAAAACUGACAAGAAAAAUGUUUUCUGACUUCUAAAAUAUUUAUAAGAAAACAAAAGCAUGCUUCCCAUGAAAUGGUUAAAAAGACGUUUUUGAAAUGAUUGUCCUUACAAAUCUGUCAGAAAAUUAUACAAGUUUUGACCUCCGUCCAUCCACUUCCUACUCAAACAAAAAACAUGAAAUGAUGCCUCUGCUAAAAAUGGUCAAGCUUUACUUUCAUCCCUCCUCUCUCAAAUUUAAAAACAAAUUGCAAGAGGCUGAAGAAAACAUAUUAUUUUGAAAGUGUAGUUCAUUUCUCAAAGAUGUUAUUAUUUCCCUCAACAUACAGUAUGAGGUUUCGUGGGGUAGUCCAUGUAAUUUUUACAGCUAAGCAUAUGGUCUGAGGACAAAACAGUCAUGGUCCAUAGAAAGCCUGGAGACUUAACUCACAGCAUCCACUGCUUCACUGAAGUGGGCUGACAUUGAUUUCCUUAUAUAUCUGGGAAAGUUUAUGAAAGACUCUCUGUGAUGUAAGUAUCUUGGGGCUCUAUUCUUCACAGGAACCACGUGAAAAGAAGUAAGUCAUGGAACAUUUUUAUCUUUACAAAGGUUUAGUGUUAAAAUUCUGAUUGCCAAUUUGUACCAUAUUUAUGUUUAGUUGUGGAAGGGCUCAAUUCUCUCUAUGCACCUUGGCUUCUGGAUGUAAGGCAGAUACCCAUUUUUUUCCCCUUGGAAGAGAUGUUGGCAUUUGAGGUUGGGCCAAGAAAAGCUAAAGAGGCUAGGAAGCGCUUACAGAUGGAGAUAAUUAGCAUAUAAAAAAUAGGCCAGCCAGAUUUUUUUUUUUUUUUAAUCAGGAAGUAGUGGGGUAAAUGCUCUCUCUGGCAAGACUAUAGAAGCUGUGUGGACAGAGGAAAUGUGAUUCAAACCCUGGUAUGAGAAUGGUAUUUUACUUGAACCAGGUUUCAAAAGACUGGAGCAGGAGUUCCUUUUACUGAAAACCGUGGAGUUGGCGGGCUUUGUAGGGGCCUCCCUUCAAAUUCUGCUCCAAGGACACUGUUUUGAAUUUUGUUUGAAAGUCUUAGAAUGGGAGAUGUUUGGUUUCAGAAGACCCAGGAUAAACAUGGUGAACUCUAUUGCUUUCCAAUGCAUGGUAGCGGAAGUGGUAUUUCUGAUACCACCUCCCAUUGAAAGGGGAUUAUAGAAGAAGGUGGGAACCAUGGCCCUAGAACAAAACUGCUCAGGCUUCCAAGGGCUAUUUUGCCAAUCCUAAAGCAAAGGCCUGAGGCUGAUCUGGAUUCAGCUGCUAUCAAUGGGGUACGCUUAAUUGCCAGAUAAUUCACUGUGGUUUCCUGAAGUUCUGAUUCAGAGUCAGCCUUUCAGGUCAUGUGUUCCACCCAUUUUCUGAAGUCUGCUGUUAUUCAAAACAGACUUAAGGGAUGUCUGUCCGGAGCAGGGCUUCUCAAUGGGUGGUAUGGGCAAUGAUGACUGAAUACGGAAUUAUCCAUGUGGGCCAGCGGAUUUAUAACAACUACUAAAAAUUAACAAUUCCUCAGUUCUCAGUUCUCAUGGCCAUCUGGAAGUGUGGUCAGCCAUCUCUUCCUGACUCUACCAUGCAUGGAUUUUACAAAUUCAACACGUUAACAAUUCGUAUCUUGUAAAGCUUCUCUUUUAUUCUACAGGUAAUUAAAUACUGCAAAAAAAAAAAAAAAGGAGAGAUUAUGGAAUUUCUAUGAAAAACUAAAAAAAAAAUAGAAGGGAAAAUUAUUAGUCUCAGAUAAUUUCAUUGGUAACCUACUUAGAGGAAGGGGUUAGACCCAAAGACUCUUUCUUUAUUUCAACAGCCCUAACUCUACACUUAAAAAAGCAGCCACUCCUUCUGUUGUCAAGCUUGGGUCUUGGCUUCAUUAAUGAGCAGAAUCAGUGUAGGAGAGAGGUGGGGCAAGCACUGCUUAUUUUUAAUAUGCUUUAUUUGACUUUACAAAUUACAUACACAUUUCCAAAUUUACAUAAAAUGGAAAACUUUAAUUUAAAAAAUGGGAAAUAAUGACAACCAAAAAAUACAGCUUUGGAAUUGCUUAGGAGCAAUUUUUUUUCUGGUCUAGUUUCCUAGAUGUGAAGUGUAAUUCUCCUCAGCCCACCACUCAUAUUAAAGACAUAGUUCUGGGAGUUAUGUCAAAAUGAGAUAUAAGGCUGUUACAGACUGAAAGUUUGGGUCCCCCCCCAAAUUCCUGUGUAAACGCCCUGACCCCCAAUGUGAUGGCAUUUGGAGAUGGGACCUUUGGGAGGUAAUCAGGGCCAGAUGAAGUCAUGAGGGUGGAGCCCUCAUAAUGGCAUCAAUAUCCUUAGAAGCAAAGCUACCAGACAGCUUGCAGUCUCUCUCCCCUCCCAUUGUGAGGACACAGCAAGAAGGCAGCCAUCUACAAGCCAGGAAGGGAAGCCUCAUGGAACCCAACCAUGCUGACACCUUGAUCUUGGACUUCCAGCCUCCAGACGGUAACCGCUCCCUGGCGCAGACACACCUGGUGGGAUGAGAUGGGACGGCGCCUUCCUUAUCUACUCACUUGGUAGAGCUAGUUCACCCUCUGCCCCUGGAUGGAAACGGAAAUGUUUGGUCAUUACAGUUACUGUUAGUCAUUAAAUAGUCUCACUUCAGUUAAAAUGGUCAGUUUCGGAUAGUAACCAAAAUUCAAACCAUGAUUAAAAGUUGAUGCCUCUCCUUGCCUCUGG
ensembl:lncRNA